rnacentral:lncRNA from 1 species
AUUUUUUCGAGAUGAAAAAUACCACCAAUCCUUCUCACUUGGAUGCCUUUUUAAAAGGAUCAAAGACCUAAAUAGGGAUAUUCUAAGAUCUAUGUGAAGGAAAUUAUACAUGAUUAUGAAUACUAUGAUCAUUCUAAUUACAUUCAAAGUUAUCUAGGUGGGGUGGACCCUAUAAAAAUCAAAAAUAUUACUAAAAAAAUGGUACAGUAGAAACUAUAGA